UCGAAUUUUGCUAUUCGAUACUAUCGUGAAUCUUAGUUUAUCUUUUGACCUUAAAGCUAUUUAUUAUUAUAAGUUAUUUCUUAUAGAGAUUUGUCUACGUCUAUCAAUAUUUAGGUCUAUAUACAUAUAUUGGGCCUAUACUAAAUUGAAAAAAAAAGUGCUCUACAGUUAAACUAAAGGAUCUAUAUGUAGGAUAAAGGGUUUCUAUAUUAUUUCAUACUGUGAUAACGUAUCAUAUAAGUGAAUGAAAACUGGAUCCACUUCUGGAAAGUUCGAUCCAGCUGUUUCGCAGAAGGUCUGGUCCAUUAAAAGAAUCAUUUCAAGCUUAUCACUGCUGGGUUUAGAUGGUGUCAAAAGUGGAGAUGUAGUGAACACUUAGACAACGAAAACAAUCAUUCAGCUAAACCAAUUUAAAGUGGUGUUCAAGCAGAAAUCUGGCAGCAUUUAUUACCAUCUCUCAUUUCCUUCAUUCUAAAAUUAAAAUUCAAAGACAUCACAUGCUGAUGAAUGGAAGUGGAUUGUAUAGUAUACUGAUUUUAUAACAGUUUACAAGUUUCAUAAAUUGUACCUA
rnacentral:sRNA from 1 species